AUGCGCAACUCUAUAUUUCCUC
rnacentral:siRNA from 1 species